rnacentral:rRNA from 1 species
CUCGACAACGGAUAUCUCGGCUCUCGCAUCGAUGAAGAACGUAGUGAAAAGCGAUACUUGGUGUGAAUUGUAGAAUCCUAUGAACCAUCGAGUUUUUGAAUGCAAGUUGCACCCAAAGCCUUCUGGCCGAGGGCACGUCUUCUUGAGCGUCACG